CUACUUACCCAUCAGGGGAGAGACCAUGAUCACAAAGGUGGUUUUCCCAGGGCGAGUCUUCUCCAUUGUACUCUGGAUGUGCUGAUCCCUGCAAUUUCCCCAAAGGUGGGAAACUCGACUUCAUAAUUUGUGGUAAUGGGGAACUGCAUUUGCACUCUCCCCUG
rfam:Homo sapiens chromosome 3, GRCh38 reference primary assembly.